AACUUAUGUUCCCGAUGCAUGAAAUAUAUCACUAGCAAUGUUCUACGAGAUCCUUUUACGUGACAAGUAGUUAGGGGAGUUCAGCAUAAACAAAUCAACCAACUAAUAACACGAAAAAAAUCACGUUUUAAGGGAUUGACUAGUUUAACUUGUUUGGAUACGAAUUGAGCCAUUUAAUCUAACCUGUUGCUUUUGAAGGACAACU